AAGUUUCUAUAUAUAAUUGUGUAAGUGUAUGUCUGUGUGUGUGUAUAUCUAUACAUACACACACACACACACACACACACACACACACACACAC
rnacentral:miRNA from 1 species